GGGCCGGGGGCUCCCUGAGCUCCAGCUUCUCCGUCUUUGCCAGCAGGACCCUGUGGGGGGAGAGCAAAGAAGAACUCAGGGUGGCCUGUGGUGACCUGAGCUGCCAACGGUUUUCAUCUCCUCUGAUAUCUCCUUUCAAACCUCAAAGAACCCCCAAGAUUUGGGGGGAAUCCCAUCACACCAGCCUGACCACGGGCGCCAGGGGGGCCUGGAGGUCCGGGGCGGCCAUCUUGACCAGCGGGACCCUGGGAGUGGAAGUCACAAGAGCCGAGGUUCACCCUGUGUGGGAAAGAGAAGAGGAUGAGCCAUAAGCUGGGGUGCUCAGUUGGCCUUGACCCCCAGACAAGGGUCACACCGGAGC